UACGGCGGGAGCUAGCGUUGUUCGGAAUUACUGGGCGUAAAGCGCGCGUAGGCGGCUUUGUAAGUUAGAGGUGAAAGCCCGGAGCUCAACUCCGGAACUGCCUUUAAAACUGCAUCGCUUGAAUCCAGGAGAGGUGAGUGGAAUUCCGAGUGUAGAGGUGAAAUUCGUAGAUAUUCGGAAGAACACCAGUGGCGAAGGCGGCUCACUGGACUGGUAUUGACGCUGAGGUGCGAAAGCGUGGGGAGCAAACAGG
rnacentral:rRNA from 1 species